rnacentral:rRNA from 1 species
AGGCAGCAGGCGCGCAAAUUACCCACUCCCGACGCGGGGAGGUAGUGACGAAAAAUAACGGCGCGGGACUCGAUUCGAGCGCCCGCGAUCGGAAUGAGCGAACUUCAAAGCGGUCAGCCGCGCGAGGCGGCGAGCGAGUAUCGAUCGGAGGGCAAGUCUGGUGCCAGCAGCCGCGGUAAUUCCAGCUCCGAAAGUGUACGCUUAAGUUGUUGCGGUUAAAAAGCUCGUAGUUGGAACUCGGGCGUCCGGCGGGCGCCGAUCGCCGAUCGCGAGGUCGGCGAAGCCGGGCCCGCCGGGCCCUACGGAGCCACGCGACCGCUGCCCUUGACCGGGUGGCGGUUCGUCGCGACUCCAUGCUACUUUGAAAAAAUUGGAGCGUUCAAAGCGGGCCGCCCGAACGGCCGCGAACAGAGCAGCGCGGAAUAGCGGAAGAGGGCCGCGGCUCCGCCGGUCGGCGCCGAGAGCAAUCGAGAUGCGGCAACGAUCGAGAGGGACGGACGGGGGCAUUCGUACCGCGCCGUUAGAGGUGAAAUUCUUGGAUCGGCGCGAGACGGACCGAGGCGAAGGCGUCUGCCAAGGACGUUUUCCUUAAUCAAGAGCGAGAGUCGGAGGUUCGAAGACGAUCAGAUACCGUCCUAGUUCCGACCGUAAACGAUGCCGACCGCGGGCCGGCGGGCGCGCGAACAGUCGGAAGCGCCGUCGGACCGUCGAAGGGAAACCGGAGCUCGCGGGUUCCGGGGGAAGUAUGGUCGCAAAGCUGAAACUUAAAGGAAUUGACGGAAGGGCACCACCAGGAGUGGAGCCUGCGGCUUAAUUCGACUCAACGCGGGGAAACUCACCCGGCCCUGACGCGGCGAGGAUUGACAGAUCGAGAGCUCUUUCUCGAUUCCGCGGGCGGUGGUGCAUGGCCGUUCUUAGUUGGUGGAUCGAUUUGUCUGGUUAAUUCCGAUAACGAACGAGACUCGAGUUUGCUAAGUAGACGGUUUCGCGGCUUUCGGUCGCGUCACUCAAGACACGUCUCUUCUUAGAGGGACCGGCGGCGGGUUCUUCAGCCGCACGAGAUCGAGCGAUAACAGGUCUGUGAUGCCCUUAGAUGUUC